rnacentral:rRNA from 1 species
GACGAACGCUGGCGGCGUGCUUAACACAUGCAAGUCGAACGGAAAGGCCCUGCUUUUGUGGGGUGCUCGAGUGGCGAACGGGUGAGUAACACGUGAGUAACCUGCCCUUGACUUUGGGAUAACUUCAGGAAACUGGGGCUAAUACCGGAUAGGAGCUCCUGCUGCAUGGUGGGGGUUGGAAAGUUUCGGCGGUUGGGGAUGGACUCGCGGCUUAUCAUCUUGUUGGUGGGGUAGUGGCUUACCAAGGCUCUGACGGGUAGCCGGCCUGAGAGGGUGACCGGCCACAUUGGGACUGAGAUACGGCCCAGACUCCUACGGGAGGAAGCAGUGGGGAAUAUUGCACAAUGGGCGGAAGCCUGAUGCAGCAACGCCGCGUGCGGGAUGACGGCCUUCGGGUUGUAAACCGCUUUCGCCUGUGACGAAGCGUGAGUGACGGUAAUGGGUAAAGAAGCACCGGCUAACUACGUG